rnacentral:rRNA from 1 species
UACAGAGGUCCCAAGCGUUGUUCGGAUUCACUGGGCGUAAAGGGUGCGUAGGUGGCGAGGUAAGUUUGAUGUGAAAUCUCCGAGCUCAACUCGGAAACUGCAUUGAAUACUAUCUUGCUAGAGGGUUGGAGGGGAGACUGGAAUUCUCGGUGUAGCAGUGAAAUGCGUAGAUAUCAUGAGGAAUACCAGAGGCGAAGGCGGCUACCUGGACAAUUGCUGACGCUCAGGCACGAAAGCGUGGGGAGCAAACAGG